CAUGCAAGUCGAACGGUAGCACAGAGAGCUUGGUCUCGGGUGACGAGUGGCGGACGGGUGAGUAAUGUCUGGGAAACUGCCUGAUGGAGGGGGAUAACUACUGGAAACGGUAGCUAAUACCGCAUAACGUCGAAAGACCAAAGAGGGGGACCUUCGGGCCUCUUGCCAUCAGAUGUGCCCAGAUGGGAUUAGCUAGUAGGUGGGGUAACGGCUCACCUAGGCGACGAUCCCUAGCUGGUCUGAGAGGAUGACCAGCCACACUGGAACUGAGACACGGUCCAGACUCCUACGGGAGGCAGCAGUGGGGAAUAUUGCACAAUGGGCGCAAGCCUGAUGCAGCCAUGCCGCGUGUAUGAAGAAGGCCUUCGGGUUGUAAAGUACUUUCAGCGGGGAGGAA
rnacentral:rRNA from 1 species